rnacentral:lncRNA from 10 species
AGUUGGGAAGUUAUGACACAAACAUUGGACAUCUCUGACAUAUUUUUUCUCGUUUUCAGCUUUUCGGAUGAUCCCUUAUCCCUUGGAAAAGGGGCACCUAUUUUAUCCUUACCCAAUCUGUACAGAAACAGCAGACCGAGAGCUGCUUCCAUCUUUCCAUGAAGUCUCAGUUUACCCAAAGAAGGAGCUUCCCUUCUUUAUUCUCUUUACUGCUGGAUUAUGUUCCUUCACAGCCAUGCUGGCCCUCCUGACACAUCAGUUCCCGGAACUUAUGGGGGUCUUCGCAAAAGCUAUGAUUGACAUUUUCUGCUCGGCAGAGUUCAGGGACUGGAAUUGCAAGAGUAUUUUCAUGCGUGUUGAAGAUGAACUGGAAAUCCCUCCGGCACCUCAAUCUCAACAUUUCCAAAACUGAACUCAUCACCCCUCUUCCCCCACCACCAAAACUGCUCCUCCUCCUGUAUUCCUGACCUCCGCCAUCCACCCCGUUGCUCAAGCCGGAAACUCGGCAGCCCUUCCAAACUCUUCCCUCUCUCACUCCCCACAUCCCAUCGUCUCGGCCUUCACA